UACAGAGGGGGCAAGCGUUGUUCGGAAUUAUUGGGCGUAAAGGGCGCGUAGGCGGCCCGCUAAGUCGAACGUGAAAUCCCCGAGCUCAACUCGGGAACUGCGUCCGAUACUGGCGGGCUUGAAUCCGGGAGAGGGAUGCGGAAUUCCAGGUGUAGCGGUGAAAUGCGUAGAUAUCGUGAGGAACACCAGAGGCGAAGGCGGUUACCUGGACAGUUACUGACGCUCAGGCACGAAAGCAUGGGGAGCAAAAGGG
rnacentral:rRNA from 1 species